rnacentral:rRNA from 1 species
GACGAACGCUGGCGGCGUGCUUAACACAUGCAAGUCGAGCGGUAAGGCCCUUUCGGGGGUACGACGAGCGGCGAACGGGUGAGUAACACGUGGGUGACCUGCCCUCAGCUCUGGGAGUAAGCCCGGGAAACUGGGUCUAAUACCGGAUAUGACUCCAUGACGCAUGUUGUGGGGUGGAAAGCCUUGUGCGGCUGAGGAUGGGCCCGCGGCCUAUCAGCUUGUUGGUGGGGUGAUGGCCUACCAAGGCGACGACGGGUAGCCGGCCUGAGAGGGCGACCGGCCACACUGGGACUGAGACACGGCCCAGACUCCUACGGGAGGCAGCAGUGGGGAAUCUUGCGCAAUGGGCGAAAGCCUGACGCAGCGACGCCGCGUGAGGGAUGACGG